rnacentral:rRNA from 1 species
UGGGGAAUAUUGGACAAUGGGGGCAACCCUGAUCCAGCAAUGCCGCGUGUGUGAAGAAGGUCUUCGGAUUGUAAAGCACUUUCGACGGGGACGAUGAUGACGGUACCCGUAGAAGAAGCCCCGGCUAACUUCGUGCCAGCAGCCGCGGUAAUACGAAGGGGGCUAGCGUUGCUCGGAAUGACUGGGCGUAAAGGGCGUGUAGGCGGUUUACACAGUCAGAUGUGAAAUCCCCGGGCUUAACCUGGGAGCUGCAUUUGAUACGUGUAGACUAGAGUGUGAGAGAGGGUUGUGGAAUUCCCAGUGUAGAGGUGAAAUUCGUAGAUAUUGGGAAGAACACCGGUGGCGAAGGCGGCAACCUGGCUCAUGACUGACGCUGAGGCGCG